AUGAACGCUGGCGGCGUGCCUAAUACAUGCACGUCGCGCGCACGGACGAGAAGCUUGCUUCUCUGAUGUUAGCGGCGGACGGGUGAGUAACACGUGGAUAACCUACCUAUAAGACUGGGAUAACUUCGGGAAACCGGAGCUAAUACCGGAUGAUAUUUUGAACCGCAUGGUUCAAAAGUGAAAGACGGUCCUGCUGUCACUUAUAGAUGGAUCCGCGCUGCAUUAGCUAGUUGGUAAGGUAACGGCUUACCAAGGCAACGAUGCAUAGCCGACCUGAGAGGGUGAUCGGCCACACUGGAACUGAGACACGGUCCAGACUCCUACGGGAGGCAGCAGUAGGGAAUCUUCCGCAAUGGGCGAAAGCCUGACGGAGCAACGCCGCGUGAGUGAUGAAGGUCUUCGGAUCGUAAAACUCUGUUAUUAGGGAAGAACAUAUGUGUAAGUAACUGUGCACAUCUUGACGGUACCUAAUCAGAAAGCCACGGCUAACUACGUG
rnacentral:rRNA from 1 species